rnacentral:rRNA from 1 species
AGCGAACGCUGGCGGCAUGCUUUACACAUGCAAGUCGAACGGUAGAGGGGCAACCCUUGAGAGUGGCGAACGGGUGAGUAAUGCAUCGGAACGUGCCCAGUAGUGGGGGAUAGCCCGGCGAAAGCCGGAUUAAUACCGCAUGAGACCUGAGGGUGAAAGCGGGGGAUCGCAAGACCUCGCGCUAUUGGAGCGGCCGAUGUCAGAUUAGCUAGUUGGUGGGGUAAAGGCCUCACAAGGCGACGAUCUGUAGCUGGUCUGAGAGGACGACCAGACACACUGGGACUGAGGCACGGCCCAGAGUCCUACGGGAGUCAGCAGUGGGGAAUUUUGGAAGAUGGGCGCAAGCCUGAUCCAGCCAUGCCGCGUGCGGGAAGAAGGCCUUCGGGUUGUGAACCGCUUUUGUCAGGGAAGAAAUCUUCUGGGCUAAUACCCUGGGAGGAUGACGGUACCUGAAGAAUAAGCACCGGCUAACUACGUGCCAGCAGCCGCCGUAAUAC